UACGUAGGGGGCAAGCGUUGUCCGGAAUUACUGGGCGUAAAGCGCACGUAGGCGGAUAUUUAAGUCAGGGGUGAAAUCCCAGAGCUCAACUCUGGAACUGCCUUUGAUACUGGGUAUCUUGAGUAUGGAAGAGGUAAGUGGAAUUCCGAGUGUAGAGGUGAAAUUCGUAGAUAUUCGGAGGAACACCAGUGGCGAAGGCGGCUUACUGGUCCAUUACUGACGCUGAGGUGCGAAAGCGUGGGGAGCAAACAGG
rnacentral:rRNA from 1 species